GGGGAUAUAGCCCAGGGUUAGAGUACUUGCCUACCUUGUGCAGGGUUCUGGGUUUAAUCCCCAGCAUCCCCA
rnacentral:tRNA from 1 species